AAUCAAUGACAACAUCAAGUCUCCUUAUAUUUAUAUUUUUUCCCAAAGUAUACCGUUGAAAAUUUGGAUACUAAUUCUUCUAUCAAUAUGGUGAGCAUGAAGAAGUGAUGAUGGUCGAAAGAACAGGAAGGAAAGGGGCAAAAAGACCAUGAUUCCAGCAUCUGGUUGUGGAGAAGCAAAUGGUGCUUAAGCCUGGAGUUGUUGGCACUUAAGCGCCACAAGCAAGAGGUUGACAAAGAGGAAAAGCAUCUAGCACUGAAGCGUCAGUUCCCUGCACUUAAGCGCCAAUCAGGAAGUAACAAGUUUGAUUUUCAUGGCACUUAACGCCUAUCUGUGUGUCAAGACUUAAUCUAUCACAUGUUGUACCUUGUUUAAGGGAUUUUCGUAUUACUGCUUUGCACUUUUUCGUUCUGCACAAUUGCAAAAACCCUUUUUGUUUUGUAAUAACUGUGAUAGUGACCUAUAAAGCUCUUUCAUGGCUUUUUCUCUUCAAUUCUUCAUUUCUCCAUGGAAUUUCUGCAACUUAAUGGCUAGGAGUAGCUAAAUCUAGAGUUAUUGGGGUUGGAUCUAGUGAGACUCAUGUAUUGCUUGUAAAUCCUAACUCUAUCCUCAUUUAAUAUUUUGCUUUUUUACUUUCAUGCUUAAA